GAAAAUUGGACUUGAUCAUAACCCAGCGGCGCUGGGUUGUGAACGCGGACGUGAAGGAGAGCACGCACGUCACGUUAAAAUCGUACGUCUCCAGUGCAAGAAGCCGCCAUUUUCUCAGCGUGAAAGAAGCGAGAAGCGAGUGAAAGACAUUACGUUAAAGACACCUGCUCUUGUGAGGAGUCACGGACUGUGUGAGGAGGAGGCGUGUUCUCAGCUUCUUCUGAAGAGAGGGACAGACGGGUUUAAGAUGUUGAAAGCCAGAGACAUAGGAGAGCAUCAUUCUUUUGAGAUUUAUAACUCAAACCAACUUUGGAGUUGUCUGAUUUGGAGAGUCAUCAUUCUUGGUCUUCCCUCUUAAGGGAAUAGUUCACACAAAAAAUCAUUUAGUUGCCCUCAUGUCAUUCCAAACCUAUACGACUUUUGUCUGUCUUUAGAAUACAAAUGAAUAUAUUUAGAAUUUUCAGAGUUAUUGUAGAAGUAAUCCAUUCCGAUAUUUAUAUAUGAUUAAAUCUUAAAUUAUAUGAUAGCGAACAUGUCUGUUCAGAAGAAAAUAUUGGUCUCCCAGACUAGCAAUGGAGGACAAAAAUUAAUAGAAUAUUAAAUAUAUUUAUUUGUGUUCCAAAAAUUAGCAGAGUUUGUAUGGGUCUGGAACAACAUGGGGAGAGUAAAUUAUGACCAUUUUCAUUUUUUGGUGGACUAACCCUUUGAAGAGCAGCCCUCAACGUACAUGAACAUUUGUGAGGCCACUGAUGAAGAACAGGCGGUGACUGGGAUGAAUGCUGGUCAGAGAAGAGAAUGUCCUUUCCCCUAAACUGAUGAAGCAGUGGUUUUAAAGGAGGACGCUGCCCUGGGUGAUGUAGAAGAUGUCACAUGUGCUGAUGGGGGUUCCUCAUGACUACAUCAAUUAUGCUGAAGAGAUCAUGAAAGUUGACAGUGAUGCAUGAUCUGUAUUCAUGGACUGUGAAACAAACUGUAAGUGUAUAAUUUGUAAAAACAAAAUGUUAAGUGCUUGUUCUGUGUUGUUUAGUAAAAGAGUUUACACUCUGUCAUUCAUACACAUGCUCACAUUCUUUCACACACACGCGCGCAUCUGUUAAAUGUUAUAAUAUCAGUGUUAAUGUUGUGGUUUAUUUGUGUACUGUAAUGCUAGAAUAGUUGGUAAAGAACUUAACUAAUUGUACAUUUAUUGUAUAAUAGUGUGUUCGUAUAUUUUUAUACAAUAUAUAAAAUUUACCAAAGUCCAAUUUGAUCUUAAAAGUUAUAUUCAACAAAUGUUCAAUGCUUUAUUUAUGAACUCUGUAGCUGUUAAUGCCAUACUUUUCUGCUUUUCUUCUUACAUGCAUGUUACUUUUUGACUUUUCUCUUGUUUUUAAUAAAUAUUUACCUUUUGAUAGUUACUAUUUGUGUGUAAAAGUGAUUUUUAAAAUGAACAAAAUUUGUAGGUUUAAUGCCUAGCUCAAUUUGGGUUCAUUUUAGCCUAGCAAUGCACUGUUUCCCACAGCCUUACACUCAAUUAGUGGCGACACUCCGCAAGUUCAUUUUCUGCCAGCAGGAGGCGCUUUAAGAGCGGGAGAGAUGCAGGAUUCUCCGGUAACGGCUACAAAGCGCUGAGCUCACAAACGCUGCCUUAUCAAGCAUUACGUGCAAAAUCGAACAUUUUCUAAAUACAGUCGGUUUCCUUCUGAAAUACAGUGAUAAAAAAACACCCGCUCUGGUUUUUAAAACCCUGCAAAGUAGUAAUUUU
ensembl:lncRNA